rnacentral:rRNA from 1 species
CUGGACUGGCCCACACGUUUUGCGAUAUGCUUAGGCAUUGCAAGAGGUUCGGCUUAUCUUCAUGAAGAAUCUAGCAUUUGUGUUGCGCACAGGGACAUCAAGGCCAGCAAUAUGUUACUUGAUGCCAAUCUCAAUCCUAAGAUCUUAGAUUUCGGGCUCGCCAAACUAUAUGAUGACCUGAAGACAUGUGAACACGAGGGUUUUUGGCACAUUGUCGGUGCAUUUCCACCUUGCUAA